UACGUAGGGCGCAAGCGUUGUCCGGAAUUAUUGGGCGUAAAGAGCUCGUAGGCGGUUUGUCGCGUCUGCUGUGAAAACCUGCGGCUCAACCGUGUGGUCUGCAGUCGAUACGGGCAGGCUGGAGUUCGGUAGGGGAGACUGGAAUUCCUGGUGUAGCGGUGAAAUGCGCAGAUAUCAGGAGGAACACCGGUGGCGAAGGCGGCAUCCUGGACCGGCAUUGACGCUGAGUGAGCGAAAGCCAGGGGAGCAAACGGG
rnacentral:rRNA from 1 species